rnacentral:rRNA from 1 species
GAUUGGCUCAGGACGAACGCUGGCGGCGUGCCUAAUACAUGCAAGUAGAACGCUGAAGGAGGAGCUUGCUUCUCUGGAUGAGUUGCGAACGGGUGAGUAACGCGUAGGUAACCUGCCUGGUAGCGGGGGAUAACUAUUGGAAACGAUAGCUAAUACCGCAUAAGAGUAGAUGUUGCAUGACAUUUGCUUAAAAGGUGCAAUUGCAUCACUACCAGAUGGACCUGCGUUGUA